AUACGGAGGGUGCAAGCGUUACUCGGAAUCACUGGGCGUAAAGCGCGCGCAGGCGGUCUUUUAAGUUGGAUGUGAAAGCCUACGGCUCAACCGUAGAACUGCAUCCAAAACUAUUAGACUAGAGUGUGGGAGAGGAAGAUGGAAUUAGUUGUGUAGGGGUAAAAUCCGUAGAGACAACUAGGAAUACCAAAAGCGAAGGCAAUCUUCUGGAACACUACUGACGCUGAGGCGCGAAAGCGUGGGGAGCAAACAGGAUUAGAAACCCCGGUAGUCC
rnacentral:rRNA from 1 species